rnacentral:lncRNA from 1 species
GUUUUCCUGCAAAGAAAAGGAAGUCCCUUUGAGUACAACAUUUUGUCACGCUCCUCCAUGUCUGCAUUCUUCUUGUGGAGCUCUUUGAGCUGAGAAUAUAAAGCACCAACAGCUGUAUGUGGAGAGAACAACAAACCAUAAUCAUCAGCAAGAUCAUACUAUCAAUAAAACCAAUACGAAAAAAACUCCUAAUGUUCAAUUAUACACUCAGUAAAGCUGAAUGCAAAUUCAAAUUCAAAUCCAAACAUUCUCAUCAUCACGACCAAUUCCAUUCUCCAAUCA